rnacentral:lncRNA from 1 species
AAAUAAUUAUACAAAAUAUUAAAAACACACCUGAAAAUCAAGAUUACAGGGAGAUGGAGAGAAUUUGAGAAGAAGAGAGUUGUAGAGAGAUGAUUAAAAACAUAAAAUGAGACUCUAUUUAUAGAAAAAUAAAUUCAUAAUCUAAUGUGUUGCGGUCCAUCAUAAGCUUCAUGCAUGUGCUCCUCACAACCUUUAGAUCAAGAUCCAAUGGCUGGUCAAACUUUAAAAGUCAACAUCACACGUGGCAUCAUUUGACUCGUCCAAUUUGGCCAAAGAACGGCUAAGAUUUGGCGGGUUAAUGGGUGGAUCGGGUUGACCCAAAUACAAAGAUUCGAAUCCUACAACUUGCUUCGCCAACCAUUGCCACGUGGCACAAUUAUGGCCAUUGAAUCAUGAACGGUUUAGAUUUAGUCAAAAUUACCAGUUAUCUCAUGCACUCAUAUCUAUUGUAAGCUCAUUUUAUCAUCCAAUCAAUGCUCGGUCAACAGAAAAAGUCAACUCUUUUUACACAAGCCCAAUUUUAAGCUGAUCUUAACUUAUCUUAAGGUUUUCGGACCUCCGAAAUCCAAAUUUGACCUCCGUUUAUCUAUUUGGAGCCUCGAAUUACGUGAAAUUAAUAUUUUACCUAAUAAACACACAAAAAUACACAAAAUUAGAUAUAUUUAAAACAUAAUUAAUAAUUCCUAAUAUAUUGCAUAAACACAAAUAUAAAUUAUAACAUAAGCACAAAAGAAUAUUAUUAUCACUUGAUAAUUAGACAAUAUUUAAUACUGAUCAAUCCGCAUGAAGACACACUUAUGGUAAAGGUUACCUUGGUAGGACAGGAGUUGAAUUGAUCCUGUAAAUUGGGUAAAUUGUACGAUCAUUGGGUAAACACAAAUAUAAAUCAUAGAUAGGGGUAACUCGGUCGAAAUUUUAUUUAAGCAAACAUUGUACGAUCUGUAAAUUGGUGACCUCAAGUUUGAUCCUAUCAUAACAUCGUUAAUAGAGUUUGGAGGAAUUGAGGUGAUUCUCCUUGGGGUGAUUGACUUGUUAUUGGCUAUAGGGUCUAGCCCACUUCAAAAAACAAUUAUGGUGACAUAGGUAGUGGUUAAUGAGCCUAGCCCUUAUCAAGUUAUUUUGGGCAGACCGUUUGAUAGGAUAGUAAGAGUAGUGAGCCCAAUCUACAUGAAAUUUAUAGUCCAAGAUGGGGUCAGAGUCAACAACAAGUAGCUCAAAGCUAUCACUCUACAGCUGCAAGAGAAUCUAUGCAGAUCAUAAGUAUCGAUCUAUGAGUUGAGUAUAGAUUACACCAGUAUGACCUAAUGAAGAGAUGAAAUAAGUGUCAGUGAGUGAGGAUAAGUUGAGCAAAGUGGUAAGAGUAGGAAAAAAAAUGAUGGAUCAAAUUUUCAAUGAGCUUCAGAACUUAUUAGUUGAAUACAAUAACAUAUUUGCACAGAAUCAUGAAGAUAUGAUGGAAUAGAUCCUCAAAUUUUAUGCCACCAGUUGGCUAUAGAUAAAAAAAAACACAAGCCCGUGAAGCAGAAAAAGAGAAUGUUCAACUAAAACAUUUAUGAGGCCAUCUAUGAUGAGGUAGAUAAACUGCUAAAAGCAAGGUUUAUAAGGGAAGUGAAUUAUCCAAAAUGUGUUUCAAAUGUGGUAAUGGUGAAAAAGGAAAAUGGAAAAUGGAAAAUGUGUGUAAACUUUAUCGACCUCAAUAAAUCUUAUUCCAAAGAUAGUUUUUCUCUAUAGCAAAACUAGCAGCCACGGAGUGUCCAAAGUUCCCAUAAGAAAUCCUAUUAGAGCUAGUUUUAAAGUCGUGUAUAGCUAAGGUCGAGAUUGAAAUUUGUAUGGUAGUGUAUGAAAAGAGCUAUAUGGUGCCUAUUACAAGGUAUAUUGAGUUCGGGGAGCAACCUCAAGAUAAAGUAAAUGCAAGAAAACUGCAAUAUCGAGUGAUGCAUUACACCAUCAUUGAGGGUAUACUUAACAAGAGAGGUCAUACCUUACCUUACUUAAUGUGUUUGGGUUCAACUAAUGUCGAAAAUUUAAUGAUAGAGGUGCAUGAGCAAAUUUGUCAAGAUCACAGCGGAGGUAGAUCAUUGGCCCACAAAAUAAUAAGGCAAGAUUAUUUUUGGCCGACCAUGUAUGAGGAUGAUUGAGAGUUAGUUUGAAGAUGCAUGAAUGCAUGUAAUUUGCCGUUAUUACAAGAUAACCACUAGAAAACAUGACCACAAUGUCGAGCACAUGGCCAUUUGCAAUGGUGGGUAGAUCUUAUCAAACUGAUGUCGACCAAGAAGGGCCAAAUGAAAUAUGUUGUGGUAGCUAUUGAUUACUCUACCAAGUGCAUUGAAGUUGAAUCGCUUCAAAAAAUAAUUAAGAAACGAACAACGAAUUUCAUAUGGAGGAGUGUAAUUUGUAAAUAUGGCAUACCUUAAGCAAUCAUCACUGACAAUGGAACCCAGUUGAACAAUGUAAACUUCAAGAAAUUUUAUGCUCAGCUCAGUAUAGAACUACAACUUAGUUCACCUACUCAUCUAAAUGCAAAUGAACAAGUGGAAGUAGUGAAAAAAUUUGUAAAGCAGCUAUUGAAAAAAAGAUUUAAGUGAAAAGAAGGCAGCUUGGGUAGACGGCUUCCGAGAGUGCUAUAGGUUUAUAGAAAGACUGUAAAGACUUCAACAGGGGAGACUCCAUUCUCACUUGCUUUUGGACACAAGGCAGUAAUCCCAGUUGAAAUUGGUAUGGAGCCACAUCAAACAAAGUACCACAAUGAGAUAGCAAAUAGGGAAUACAUAUUGCUGGAUUUAGACUUGCUUGAAGAGAAGAGAGAGGCGGUAAGAGGUCAGUUAGCAAUUUACAAGCAAAAUGUGACUAAGUUUUACAGCAAAAGUAUUUGGCUAUGACUACUCAAAGAAGGGGAUCUGGUGCACCAUAACCAAAUCAGCAUACUAGAGAGAUGGAUGACAAAGUCCUAGGGCUGCGUUGGGAAGGGUCGUACAAAGUACUGCACUCGUUCACCGAUGGUGCAUAUAAAUUGGGUUAUCUAAAUGGCAGAAUUGUUGGCAAAGCAUGGAAUGCACAACACCUAUGGAAAUAUUAUUAGUAGGUCGACCUUAGCACUAAUAUUCUUAUUUAUGUUCCUUUUAACUAUGUUAAGGAAGUUUGUUUCUUAAUUUGUCAUUUCGAUUUAGCUCAUGUUCAAUUCAUGUAAUUUCAAGUAUCGUAAUAUUAAUAAGGUUAUCCAAAAGUGCAAUUCUAAUACUUCUCAGCUUAUCUACUCAUUACUGAUAUAAUUAAUAUCAAGGUUGUGAUUUAUGACACAACUUAAAAGUGUUUAAUUUUACCCUCAAGUAUAAGAGUGCUUAGUUAUACUAUAGCUCAGUGAGUCCCAAGGUCAAUCCAUAAAGAAAAGAUUAAUUUUGUUUAUUUUAGUUUAUGUAAAAAAAUAAAAAUAAAAUUUAAAUAUAUGUAAUUUAGUUGGAGCAAAACUAUAAAAUUAAAUUAGUUAAGGUUAUGGAUUCAGUCUCAGUAAUAAAUAAAAUAUAAUAAAUGUUUUUGCCAUUUUUUAUUUAGAUUUAUUGCCCAAAAGAUUAAUUAUAUAAAUUAUUAUUAUUUUCCUAUUAAUUUUAUUAUGGAUUAAGAAUUUAUUGCGCCAAAAUUUAAUUUGUCUGCAAUAAGUCAAAAUAUAAUUUUACCAUACCUUAUAUUAAGAUAUUAAGAAUUUAUUAUGCCAAACUGCCUUGUUUGUCUACAAUAAAUCAAAAUUUCAAAAUAUAAAAUAUGUAUAAAAUUAAAUAGAAAAUAAUUUAAUUUAUAUAGUUAAAAAUGAAAUUUGAUUAAAUCAUUUUUUUCUAUUAAGAAUUUCACCUCACCCUAACUAUUAAUGUUUAGCUAAAUAUAUUUCAAAUAAAGGAAAUUAUUAAAAUUAAAAAAUAUAGAAAAAUAGUAUUUGAAAAUUGAAAUAAAACUAAUUUUAUUUAUUUAAAAUAUAUUACAAAGAAAGAUGAGAAGAAGAAUUUGAGGGGAAAGAAGAGAAAGAAAGGUGUAGAGAAGUGUGUUCUCUCCCUCUCUAUUUAUACUAAUACAAGAUUAAUUCACACCACACAAAUAAAUAAAACUAAUUACAUCUUAUCCUUACAUUUGUUCUAGUAACAAAACAUAAACCUAACUUAAUUCACUCAAACACAUCUAACACAUUUCACUAACAAUUAUCAUAGCUAACAUGAUAAAAACUUAUAAUUUCACAAUUACCACAUUUACUGUGGUAAAAACUUAUAAUUUUACAAUAAAAGUCGCGAAUCUUCCUCAAUAAUGACCUAAUUUCUUGGACUUACGGAAUCCAAAUUUGAUAUUCAUAAUUUGUUUGGAGCCUCAAAUGGCGUGAAAUUAUUAUUUUUACCUAAUAAAUACA